rnacentral:rRNA from 1 species
AUGGCGGCGUCCUCGGCGAGCAGGUACGCGGCGGUGCUCCACAGGCGCACGCACAGGGUCACGUCCGCGCUGGCGUACGCGGCGCUCGAGUGGGUCCUCAUCGCGCUGCUGCUCCUCAACGGGCUCCUCUCCCACGCCGUCGCCCGCUUCGCCGCCUACUUCGGCCUCAGGCCGCCCUGCCUCCUCUGCUCCCGCGCCGACCGCUUCUUUGGCGCGGAGGAGGAGGACGCUGCCGAUCAGGCGGCGGGCGACGCGCGCUGGCUGCGCGGCCUCCUCUGCGGCGCCCACGCGGCCGAGAUCUCCGGGAUGGGCUACUGCCUCCACCACCGCCGCCUCGUCGCCGACGCCGCCGACAUGUGCGAGGGCUGCCUCUCUUCUUGGAAGAAGGAGAUGAUGAGGGAUGCAGAAGAGGAAGGCGCCGUGGUGUGCUCUUGCUGCAAAGCUCUAGUACAGAUUCCUUCUUCACGCGCGUUCGAGGAUGAUACACACGCGAGGGAAGAUCCUGCCGUACUCGAGAAGACAGCCGAAGAAGAAGAACAAGACCAAGGCUACGUUCUACUGGAUCAAGAAGACCACGAAGACGAAGAAGAGGUGCAGCAAAACGAAGAGGAAGCCCAUGAGCAGCAAGGGGAGAUUAAGGUGGCUGCCGUGGAGGACGAGUCCUUGGAAUUCAUGGCUCAGGGCGAAGAGAUCACGCCCGUCGACGACGAUCGGUUGGUGCCGGUGGUGGCACUGGAUGAGAUGACAAUUGCCGACGAUUCGGGUUUGCAUCCGGAUGCCCCUAGCUCUGAGGAGGAUGACAUGAAUCGUACAGACGAUGAGCGUGAUCCGGAUGAUCUUGAUGCCGCAGUGGUUCUGGAGGAGAAGAGGAUGCUGGCUUCUUCGGUUGCAACGAUGCCUGCCAUGACUGAGAAUUCCGUUCCACAAGAUGAUGAACUGGUUCUUGAAGAUACUGUCGAAACUGGAGAUUUCAGGACUGAUGAAGGAGACAUUCUUGUGCCUCAAGCCACUGAAGCAAUUCCUGAAGAUGGCAGCAAAUCGGCAGAGGUGGAGACUAACUGCGAGGUGUCAAUCGGGGGCGACAUUUGCGAGCAGGAGCAAGAUGGCCAUGCUGCUCCAUUUCAAGAACUGGUGGCGCUAGAGGAGCUGUUUUCUCCAUUGGAAUAUGCAGAUGACCGGACAUCACCACUGGAAAUCCUCCAUGAAACAGCCCCAGCUGAUCAAGAAGCAAGUGAAGCAGAGCAUGAGGUGACGGCCAGCCAGAGAUUUGAGUACCAAUCGAAUGGCGAGAACGAGGAGGACGAAGACAGGGCACCGGAGACACCCACCUACAGCUUUGCUGCCCAAAACUCCGGCAAAAGGUUCUUGCUCGAGAGGAAGCGGUCACUGUCCUUGUCCUUGGAUGGAAGCGUGUCGAGCGAGGUCGAGUGCGCCGAACCUUCCACCGUCGAUCAGCUGAGAUCCGCGCUGCAGGCAGAGCGAAAGACGCUCAGCGCUAUGUACGCCGAGCUGGAGGAAGAGAGGAACGCCGCCGCCAUCGCGACCAACCAGACGAUGGCGAUGAUCAACCGGCUGCAGGAGGAGAAGGCCGCCAUGCAGAUGGAGGCGCUGCAGUACCAGAGGAUGAUGGAGGAGCAGUCGGAGUACGACCAGGAGGCGAUGCAGCUGCUGACCGAGCUGGUCACCAAGAGGGAGAGGGAGAAGCAGGAGCUGGAGAGGGAACUGGAGCUGUGUAAGCAGAAGGUGCUGCACUACGAGGACAGGGAGAGGAGGAGGAUGCCAGCCUUCAAGGACAAUGCGCGUAGUACCAACGGCAACGGCACCUCCGAGUCGUCCAGCGGCGAGGAUAGCGAUGAGAAUUCCGAUGACUCCUGCGAGCUGGGCGAGUCUCCGAGCGGCAAUCUUCAGAGCUCGCCGGACGCUGUUCUUAGCCCCAGGGCGGAUCAAGAGAACGCCGGUCAUCUUGUGGCGCUGGAUGAUUCCUUGACGUACAUGGAGAUGGAGAGGCUGUCUAUCUUGGAGGAGCUCAAGGCACUUGAAGAGAGGCUCUUCACGCUGGAAGACGACGAUAUCAACGGCAGCAAUGCGGCUGCUGACCGUUCCUCGGACGAUUACGGUAUGUCAGCUGAUGGUCCGCAUUCACCGGGGAAUGGUCUCGCCGGCAACAAGGCCAGGUUUGAAGGCAGAGCUUCUGUUUCCAGAGGAAAGAGCCUUCUGCCUCUCUUUGACGCAGUCGGUGACCGGAACUGCGAUCGUCCAUCAUCCACAGAGGCUGAUGAUUUGACGAAACCGGCCGUCGCCGUGUUUGCGAAAGAGCAAGAGAGGCUGGCGAUCAUAGAGGAGGUUGAUCAUGUGUACGAGAGGCUGCAAGCACUGGAGGCGGACAAGGAGUUCCUCAGGCACUGCAUCAAGUCCCUGAAGAAAGGGGACAAGGGCAUGCACCUUCUCCAGGAGAUCUUGCAGCAUCUUCGCGAGCUCCGGAGCGUGGAGCUUCAUGCCAAGCACGCCGGUGAUGCCAUUGCCACAAAGUCAGCAUAG